AUGGCCACGGCGCGGGCCGUUUCAACCACGGCGAGGGGCGCGGUCGUGGGGAUGGAGGUGGUCGCGGGCACGCAGAGGUGGCGGUGGGGGAGAGGACGUGGCCGGGAGAGCCAUGUCUGGACUCGCAAGACGGCCGGGGCUUCCUCCUCCAACGCCCCGUCCGGAUCUGAUGAGACGGGAUUCGAUCGAUGGGAGAAGGCUGCGGGGGCCAGCCAAGACGCCUUUGCUCACCAGGAGCGUUGGGGCUCUGAUGAGGGUGACAAGGCUCUCCACAACUCCUACAACUCUGCGCCUCCUGUUAAGAUGCGUGAGAUCCCUCCUAAUCCUGAUCCUAUGGUUGCUUCUUUUGAAUCCUUUCAAAUCUGCAAUCUGUUAGGCCACCCUACUGCUAAAUUCCCCCAGGCUCUCUAUGUUAGAUGCAAGAAGAAAGGGCAUCUCUCUGUCAUCUGUACUGACUUUCUUCCUUGGGAGUGCAUAGCUGCGAUGUGUGCUUCCAAGCUAAAGUGCAAGGAUUUUCACUAUAUCCAUGAUUACUCUGUUAGUAGUCAGAACAAUGAUAGGAUUGUUAAGGUCAUUAUUACCAUAGUUGAGGGAGAGAUUACCACCAAGAAGCUAGUGGAUGAGUUUGAGAAAUACAUUGGGCAGGGAUGGCGUUGCUCAGCCCAUCUGAUUGCACCAAAACAAUAUGUGAUGCGUUUUCCCAACCAGAGAGAGGUGGAUAGAGCUGUCUUCAUUGAAUACAUUACUCUCAAGUCUCUAGGAGUGGUUGUUUGUAUCACCCCAUGGUCUGAGGAUGUGGAAUCUGAGGGCUUGCUGAAAGUGGGUUGGGUGAAGAUUAGCAAGAUCCCCCCCCCCCCCACAACAAGCGCUGUGAAAAAAAUGUUGCUUUUGUUGGAGGCUUAG
rnacentral:rRNA from 1 species